rnacentral:rRNA from 1 species
GGUUGACCUCGAUCAGGUAGGAU